rnacentral:rRNA from 1 species
CAAUAGCGUAUAUUAAAGUUGUUGCGGUUAAAAAGCUCGUAGUUGGAUCUCGGCAGGCAGGGGGUGGUUCGCUCUUAGCGCUACUGCCCCAUUUGCCUGUGUGAUUGGCGGAGGUUUCGGGGUGCUCUUCGUUGAGUGACCCGGGGCGCCGUCAGGUUUACUUUGAGAAAAUUAGAGUGCUCAAAGCAGGCUUUUCACGCUUGAAUAUUCGUGCAUGGAAUAAUGGAAUAGGAACUCGUUUCUAUUUUGUUGGUUUUCGGAAAUCGAGUUAAUGAUUAAUAGGGACAAUUGGGGGCAUUAGUAUUCAGACGACAGAGGUGAAAUUCUUGGACCGUCUGAAGACUAACUACUGCGAAAGCAUUUGCCAAGAGUGUUUUCAUUAA